GAUGAACGCUGGCGGCGUGCUUAACACAUGCAAGUCGAACGAAGCAUUUAAGACAGAUUACUUCGGUUUGAAGUCUUUUAUGACUGAGUGGCGGACGGGUGAGUAACGCGUGGGUAACCUGCCUCAUACAGGGGGAUAGCAGCUGGAAACGGCUGGUAAUACCGCAUAAGCGCACAGUACCACAUGGUACAGUGUGAAAAACUCCGGUGGUAUGAGAUGGACCCGCGUCUGAUUAGCUUGUUGGCGGGGUAACGGCCCACCAAGGCGACGAUCAGUAGCCGACCUGAGAGGGUGACCGGCGACAUUGGGACUGAGACACGGCCCAGACUCCUACGGGAGGCAGCAGUGGGGAAUAUUGCACAAUGGAGGAAACUCUGAUGCAGCGACGCCGCGUGAGUGAAGAAGUAGUUCGCUAUGUAAAGCUCUAUCAGCAGGGAAGAUAGUGACGGUACCUGACUAAGAAGCUCCGGCUAAAUACGUG
rnacentral:rRNA from 1 species